rnacentral:rRNA from 1 species
AUUGAACGCUGGCGGCAGGCUUAACACAUGCAAGUCGAGCGGGGGAGAUUGCUUCGGUAAUUGACCUAGCGGCGGACGGGUGAGUAAUACUUAGGAAUCUGCCUAUUAAUGGGGGACAACAUCUCGAAAGGGAUGCUAAUACCGCAUACGCCCUACGGGGGAAAGCAGGGGAUCACUUGUGACCUUGCGUUAAUAGAUGAGCCUAAGUCGGAUUAGCUAGUUGGUGGGGUAAAGGCCUACCAAGGCGACGAUCUGUAGCGGGUCUGAGAGGAUGAUCCGCCACACUGGGACUGAGACACGGCCCAGACUCCUACGGGAGGCAGCAGUGGGGAAUAUUGGACAAUGGGGGGAACCCUGAUCCAGCCAUGCCGCGUGUGUGAAGAAGGCCUUAUGGUUGUAAAGCACUUUAAGCGAGGAGGAGGCUCUUUUGGUUAAUACCCAAGAUGAGUGGACGUUACUCGCAGAAUAAGCACCGGCUAACUCUGUGCCAGCAGCCGCCGUAACAC